rnacentral:rRNA from 1 species
GACGAACGCUGGCGGCGUGCUUAACACAUGCAAGUCGAACGAAGAGCGAUGGAAGCUUGCUUCUAUCAAUCUUAGUGGCGCACGGGUGAGUAACGCGUAAUCAACCUGCCCUUCAGAGGGGGACAACAGUUGGAAACGACUGCUAAUACCGCAUACGAUCUAAACUCGGCAUCGAGGAUAGAUGAAAGGUGGCCUCUACAUGUAAGCUAUCACUGAAGGAGGGGAUUGCGUCUGAUUAGCUAGUUGGAGGGGUAACGGCCCACCAAGGCGAUGAUCAGUAGCCGGUCUGAGAGGAUGAACGGCCACAUUGGGACUGAGACACGGCCCAGACUCCUACGGGAGGCAGCAGUGGGGAAUCUUCCGCAAUGGACGAAAGUCUGACGGAGCAACGCCGCGUGAGUGAUGACGGCCUUCGGGUUGUAAAGCUCUGUUAAUCGGGACGAAAGGCCUUCUUGCGAAUAGUGAGAAGGAUUGACGGUACCGGAAUAGAAAGCCACGGCUAACUACGUG